rnacentral:rRNA from 1 species
GACGAACGCUGGCGGCGUGCUUAACACAUGCAAGUCGAACGGUGAAGCGCCUUCCUUUUUGGUGGGUGUGGAUGAGUGGCGAACGGGUGAGUAACACGUUAGUAACCUGCCCCCUUCUUCUGGAUAACCGCAUGAAAGUUUGGCUAAUACGGGAUAUUCUGGGUCUGUCGCAUGAUGGGUCUGGGAAAGAUAUUGUUUCGGUGGGGGAUGGGCUCGCGGCCUAUCAGCUUGUUGGUGGGGUGAUGGCCUACCAAGGCGGUGCCGGGUAGCCGGCCUGGGAGGGUGGACGGUCACACUGGGGCUGAGACACGGCGCAGACUCCUACGGGAGGCAGCAGUGGAGAAUAUUGCACAAGGGGAGGAAGCCUGAUGCAGCGACGCCGCGUGAGGGAAGGAGGCCUUAGGGUUGUGAACCUCUUUCGCCAGUGAAGCAGGCCUGCCUCGUUUGUGGGUGGGUUGACGGUAGCUGGAGAAGAAGCGCCGGCUAACUACGUG